rnacentral:rRNA from 1 species
UACGAGGGGUGCAAGCGUUGCUCGGAAUUAUUGGGCGUAAAGGGUAGGUAGGUGGUCUCAUUUGUCUGGGGUGAAAGCCUUGAGCUUAACUCAAGAAGUGCCCCAGAAACGGUGAGACUGGAGUCCUGGAGAGGGUCGUGGAAUUCCCGGUGUAGUGGUGGAAUGCGUAGAUAUCGGGAGGAACACCAGUGGCGAAGGCGGUUGCCUGGGGCUUUGCUGACGCUGAUGCGCGAAAGCGUGGGGAGCGAUCCGG